UACGUAGGUGGCAAGCGUUGUCCGGAUUUACUGGGCGUAAAGCGUAUGUAGGCGGAUUUUUAAGUAGGAAGUGAAAGGUUGGUGCUCAACACUAACACUGCUCCCUAUACUGGAAGUCUUGAAGGCCGGAGAGGAAAGCGGAACGAGUCGUGUAGCGGUGAAAUGCGUUGAUAUGACUCGGAACACCAAUGGCGAAGGCAGCUUUCUGGACGGUAGGUUUACCUUUAAAUUUGACGCUGAGAUACGAAAGCGUGGGGAGCGAACAGG
rnacentral:rRNA from 1 species